rnacentral:rRNA from 1 species
CGCGGCCUAUCAGCUUGUUGGUGGGGUAAUGGCCCACCAAGGCGACGACGGGUAGCCGGCCUGAGAGGGUGACCGGCCACACUGGGACUGAGACACGGCCCAGACUCCUACGGGAGGCAGCAGUGGGGAAUAUUGCACAAUGGGCGAAAGCCUGAUGCAGCGACGCCGCGUGAGGGGUGACGGCCUUCGGGUUGUAAACCUCUUUCAGUAGGGAAGAAGCGAAAGUGACGGUACCUGCAGAAGAAGCGCCGGCUAACUACGUGCCAGCAGCCGCGGUAAUACGUAGGGCGCAAGCGUUAUCCGGAAUUAUUGGGCGUAAAGAGCUCGUAGGCGGUUUGUCGCGUCUGCCGUGAAAGUCCGGGGCUCAACUCCGGAUCUGCGGUGGGUACGGGCAGACUAGAGUGAUGUAGGGGAGGCUGGAAUUCCUGGUGUAGCGGUGAAAUGCGCAGAUAUCAGGAGGAACACCGAUGGCGAAGGCAGGUCUCUGGGCAUUAACUGACGCUGAGGAGCGAAAGCAUGGGGAGCGAACAGGAUUAGAUACCCUGGUAGUCCAUGCCGUAAACGUUGGGCACUAGGUGUGGGGGACAUUCCACGUUUUCCGUACCGUAGCUAACGCAUUAAGUGCCCCGCCUGGGGAGUACGG